AUUGAACGCUGGCGGCAUGCCUUACACAUGCAAGUCGAACGGUAACAGGUCUUCGGAUGCUGACGAGUGGCGCACGGGUGAGUAAUACAUCGGAACGUGCCCGAUCGUGGGGGAUAACGAGGCGAAAGCUUUGCUAAUACCGCAUACGAUCUACGGAUGGAAGCGGGGGAUCUUCGGACCUCGCGCGGACGGAGCGGCCGAUGGCAGAUUAGGUAGUUGGUGGGAUAAAAGCUUACCAAGCCGACGAUCUGUAGCUGGUCUGAGAGGAUGAUCAGCCACACUGGGACUGAGACACGGCCCAGACUCCUACGGGAGGCAGCAGUGGGGAAUUUUGGACAAUGGGCGAAAGCCUGAUCCAGCCAUGCCGCGUGCAGGAUGAAGGCCUUCGGGUUGUAAACUGCUUUUGUACGGAACGAAAAGCCUCUUUCUAAUAAAGAGGGGUCAUGACGGUACCGUAAGAAUAAGCACCGGCUAACUACGUG
rnacentral:rRNA from 1 species